rnacentral:rRNA from 1 species
UACGGGGGAGCAAGCGUUGUUCGGAUUUACUGGGCGUAAAGGGCGCGUAGGCGGCCACCGCAAGUCAAUUGUGAAAUCUCCGGGCUUAACUCGGAAAGGUCAACUGAUACUGUGCGGCUAGAGUGCGGAAGGGGCAACUGGAAUUCUCGGUGUAGCGGUGAAAUGCGCGAUAUCGAGGAGGAACACCGUGGCGGAAGGCGG